GACGAACGCUGGCGGCGUGCCUAAUACAUGCAAGUCGAGCGAAGUUUUUCUGGUGCUUGCACCGGAAAAACUUAGCGGCGAACGGGUGAGUAACACGUAAAGAACCUGCCUCAUAGACUGGGACAACUAUUGGAAACGAUAGCUAAUACCGGAUAACAGCAUUAACUGCAUGGUUGAUGUUUAAAAGUUGGUUUUGCUAACACUAUGAGAUGGCUUUGCGAUGCAUUAGCUAGUUGGUGGGGUAAAGGCCUACCAAGGCGACGAUGCAUAGCCGACCUGAGAGGGUGAUCGGCCACACUGGGACUGAGACACGGCCCAGACUCCUACGGGAGGCAGCAGUAGGGAAUCUUCCGCAAUGGGCGAAAGCCUGACGGAGCAACGCCGCGUGAGUGAAGAAGGAUUUCGGUUCGUAAAGCUCUGUUGUUAGGGAAGAAUGAUUGUGUAGUAACUAUACACAGUAGAGACGGUACCUAACCAGAAAGCCACGGCUAACUACGUG
rnacentral:rRNA from 1 species